rnacentral:rRNA from 1 species
UGAGCAAUCUGCCCUUCACAUCGGAAUAACCAUUGGAAACGAUGGCUAAUACCGAAUAUGACUUCGGAUCGCAUGAUCUGAAGUGGAAAGCUCCGGCGGAGAAGGAUGAGCUCGCGGCCUAUCAGCUAGUUGGUGUGGGUAAUGGCCCACCAAGGCGACGACGGGUAGCCGGCCUGAGAGGGUGACCGGCCACACUGGGACUGAGACACGGCCCAGAUCCUACGGG